rnacentral:other from 1 species
GACAUGUGCUGGAUGCACCUCACUAGGAUGGUGAAAUAGCAAAGGCAAAUGGACAGCUUCAAGGAUUGAUUGCCUAUCAGGAUGAUAGCAAGGACACCACUUAGGGAUUAAGUGAAGAGAGUUAGCAGGGAAGGCUAACGGGCAGGAUUGCCAAAGGACACCGCUAGGAUGGCGAUGAUAAGGAAUGAGCUGAAGGAAUCGGCCAACUAUCAAGGAUUAGAUGCAGGGAGCAUCGAUUAGUAGCGGGAUUGCUGCGAGUAAGAAAAUACCCCUAUAGCGAAAGUUAUAGGGGUUUCUUUUUCC